rnacentral:sRNA from 1 species
CCAGCACCCAACUUUACCACCCUCCCCCACCUCUCCCCCGAAACUCCAGCAACAAAGAAAAGUAGUCGGAGAAGGAGCGGCGACUCAGGGUCGCCCGCCCCUCCUCACCGAGGAAGGCCGGGUCUUGCUCUGUUGUCCGGGCCGUAGUGCAGUGGCACCAUCAUGGCUCACUUCUGCCUCAACCUUCUGGACUCAAGCAAACCUCCCACCUCAGCCUCUUGGAGUAGCUGGAACUACAGAGCGUCUGCCCUGUCCAAGGAGGUGAUAUGCACAGGGAGGAUGUUGGAAGCCACGACUGUAAACCAAGCUGACUGAUUUCCCU